UUAAAUCAAAUUCGAUCCAUGCUCCUCUGUGUAAGUGGUAGCCAUCAGCGUUGCCGUCAAUGGUGGCCGAAGAACGACUUUUUUCCAGAACAUAAAAUUUAUAUAUCAAUUUGUCACAAAUUUCAUGAAUUUUACAACUCCUUAAUUAAUUUCUGCAUUACGUAGUUAUUUCUAACAAAAUUCCAAUUUGUAUUGGAGACUAAUAUCAAAUCAAAAGCACCAUAUGCAAUUAAAACUGUAGAAAUCAAAUUAACAUUAUUUAAAAAUACUCUACAAUCAUAAAGAAAGAGAUUUCUAGCCCUAAAAGCCUAAAUCCAUGUACCAGACCCCAUCAAUUGCUAGAAAGGAAUAUAACAAAUUUUAUUUUUUCUUGAAAAUAAAAUUACGCAUUAAGUUAGUACACAAGGUAACAAGAGCAAACUAACAAUUCUAAAUUUUACUCACUUGCAAACCUUGCAUUCCCUUGCUCCACUAGUUAAGUUCCCCGAUCUUUGUUUGAAAGGUGAAAUUCAAGUCUAUGCAAAUAUAUUUGUUUUGUAAAGAACAUAAGAUAUGAUUGCACCGCAAGAGAUCUUCAUUUUAUUGUUGGGGGUCUGCACAAACUUGGAAGCAGGCGUUCUAGUUCAUUUACAGUCUCUACGAGUAAGUAGAUACGUUCAAAUUAGUAAUACAAAAAGUGAAAUUUCGGAUCAUGAGGGCGGAUAACCAACCAGCAUAUGAAGAGGAUAGUAAAGAAAAUAACAAUAACAACAAUUAUAGCUACGAUUAUACAAUAGAGGAAUGUGGUGUGUGGGUUGGGAUAUACUAGCGAUUGGUUGUAAUAGUAAGGGUUGUUAGGUUGUGGGGGGGCAUAGGGAGCGGUAGAUGGCGAUGGAGGGUAGCUGUUAGGGUGUUGUAGCGGGGGACAAGGUAGUUAGUGAUAGGUCUAGAAUGGUUCAUGUGGAAUUCACUCAUGCAACUAAGUUGAGAUUCUCUUUUCCACAUCAAAUGCCAUGCAUAAAAAAGGGUCCCACAAUAAUGCAAUGUCAUGUUUUGGAUUAUUUUUGGUCAGAAACUUGCCUGAGUUACUUUUGUGUUUCAAACAUCAAAGUUUAGAGAGUUUUAAGAUACAAUUUUAAGAUGAGAUACCUUAAAAGUGAUUACCCCUAAAUUGAGGUACCUUGGAUGAAAAUAAACCAGAACAUCAUUGCUCAUCCAUUCUUUUCUUGAUGUUGCAACUUUUGCUAAGGCAUCAGCUUCUGUAUUUUUUUCCUUAGGAUCUCAUUUAUUUCCAUUCUCCUUCUUUUUCAAUUUUCAUAACAAAUUGAUUGCCAGUGCUUUAUAUUUGAUUCACAACUAAUUGUGAGUCACAAAAAAUAAUAAGUUUUUUGCGUCUCACCUCUAAUGCUAAUUUGAUUAUUAGUGCUUCAUAUUCAGCUACAUUAUUUAUUGUGACAAAAUCAAAUUGAAUUGCAUAUUUCAAUUUUAUUUUGUUUGGUCCUUGGAGUGCAAUUUCUGUUCAUGCUAAUGUAAUUCUUGAUGUUCCAUCUGUAUUAGUUGCCAUUGCUAAUAUUCUUUAUUUAAGUAUUCUUUUGUAUUUUGCUCACCUGUUAAUUCUGCCACAAAAUUUGAAAAAGCUUGUGCUUU
rnacentral:lncRNA from 1 species